rnacentral:rRNA from 1 species
GACGAACGCUGGCGGCGUGCUUAACACAUGCAAGUCGAACGGAAAGGCCCUGCUUUUGUGGGGUGCUCGAGUGGCGAACGGGUGAGUAACACGUGAGUAACCUGCCCUUGACUUUGGGAUAACUUCAGGAAACUGGGGCUAAUACCGGAUAGGAGCUCCUGCUGCAUGGUGGGGGUUGGAAAGUUUCGGCGGUUGGGGAUGGACUCGCGGCUUAUCAGCUUGUUGGUGGGGUAGUGGCUUACCAAGGCUUUGACGGGUAGCCGGCCUGAGAGGGUGACCGGCCACGUGGCGCGUGGGCUACGGCCCAGUGAGCGGGGGGGGGGGGCAGGGGGUAGUAGCGCAGAGUGGGGGGUAGGCUGCUGCAGCACGGGCGGGGGGGGGAUGGCGUCCGUCGGGGUGUAAGCCGUUGUCGCCUGUGACGAAGGGUGAGUGACUGUAGGGGGAAAAGAAGCACCGGAAAACGGGGUGCAAGGAGCGGCGGUAAUAGAUGGGAAAAGCACCCGUCUCAAC